UGUGAUGGACAUCAUCUCUUCGCCUUCCUUUCCAUCCAGUGGAACAUGUGGUGCCUCUGUCCAAUCUUCCGCCCCAUCAUCUCCUCUGCCUCCCCUUCUCCACAAAUCCACCUGCCUCCCUUUCUUCUCUUCUUGCAUCCUUCCACAUGCUCAUCUGUGCUUCCGUCCGUCUGCACCUCGUGGGGUCGACGCCUCCCUGAUCGAGGUCCAUGCUUAAAGGUAUAGCCACCGCGCACUCCCUCAUGUCGAUCUUGACAGCUGAGCCAACCUCUCUUCCCGUCCUUCUUCAAUGCCAUGACACUCUGUUGUCCGUCCGCCCGACGUCGUCGAGGCAUCCUAACAGGCAUCGGUCUCAGUUGUGGAGUGAUGCUGGCCGUGGAGGCAUCCCAAAUCAGCAGCAACUGAUUAUUAGUCAAAAGAGAGGUGGUUAAAAUUGCUCCAACAUUCUUCUUCACGAUGACUGAUGGUAUCAUGGUAUGACUGUAGGUUGCCAUAGCCUUUGUACAUGCUUUUCUCUCUUCAGAUGUGUUUGUUCGGUUCAGUUUCUACUUUUAGUCUUCUGGGCAAGCUAGUAUGUAACUUGAUUACACCACAUGCAUUUUUUUUAUCUGAACAUGGAUGAAUUGCAUGUAUGAGUUUGAUUGCCAAAGACAGUUCGAGGUAGCUAUUUCUUCUAUCUCAAUUUCAUUCACUGUCAUAAUUGCUACCCCGCCUUCAGAUGUACUGGUUCUUAGUUAUAGUUGGUCCUUUUGUGCAACAAACUAUACUGGAUUCAUUUCGGCAAUCACAAGUAGACCCACGCAUAAACAUGUGUCCGUAAAUUUAGUUCUACUUUAAAUUUAAUGGUCCCUUUUCUGAAUCUCUUAUAGUGGCUGGAAGAUAAAUCAACUUCGCCAGAUUCCGGGACAUGGUGAUGAUUAGGUCUCCCUUCAUCUCCAUCUUAUGCAUCACGUAGCCGUCUCUCUGGUUAGUAUGAUGUUUUGUGUUUCUCCCUCUUGCUGUCAGUUUGCAGCUUUCUAAUAUGUGAUUCCAUUGCAUACACACACUACCUCAUGAUCAAGCUAUUCAUUUUUAGGAGUGGAACUAAGCUUUAUAGAACGCAUAAGCAUGCACAGUUUUGUAUUGAAGAAGGCAAACGAAAAACAAAUCAUAGGUACCUAGGUAUACUGUCAUGGAUGACAACCUAAAAGAAAUAGCAACACGUUGCACAAAAAAAUUCUGGUGAAAGACUUAACAGUGAGUUUCAUGAUUUAUAUGCGACCUUUUUCUAAAAAUUUAUAGAAAAUGAGAUUAUGUUCACUCACAUUUUAUCUUUCCAGUGCAAGAUAUAUUUUUUAUGGAAUGCACAGGAAUAGUUGUUAUUGUUUUAGGUUUUGCAAAGGGGUGAGAUGUCUCUGCUGUCUCUGCUUAACGUUUUUCCGUGAUCACCUUGAUGAUAAACAGUGAAGGUAAGGGAUUAAUAGAUAAUUUCACAUGCACACAUAUUCGAAUUUUCAUCAUGUUUUCUUUAGAUGCUUAAUUUAAACAAUAUUUUUUUAGACAAAUUUUUUGUCAUCAUCAUGUACUUAAUAAAGAUAUCAUGUUUUUAAACAUCACUUACUUAUUAUCGAUUCCCACAGCAACGCGUGGGGUAUCAUCUAGUAUCUCAAUAGCCUCCAUACCCAAAGCCACGCCGGAAUGGCUCCUCGCUUCCAAAUCCUCGCGAGUGGGGAUGGCGCCCGCCGCCGCAGCUCGCGCCUCCACUCCCAAAUCCAUGCGAGUGAGGAUGGCGCCCCCCGUCGUAGCCCGCGCCUCCACCCCCAAAUCCACGCGAGUGGGGAUGGCGCCGGAGUGACCCAUCGACACCGCCGCACAUCACAGGCGGCGACUGCCUCCCUGCCGGAGAGUGAUGAUUUGCUUCGGGAGAUCUUCAUCCGUCUCCCGCUGCAGCCAUCCUCGCUUCCCUGCGCCUUCGCCGUCUGCAAGGAUGGCGGGGCCUCAUCAUCGACCCAAAGUUCAUCAACAGCUUCUGCGCCCACCACCAGAAGCCACCUCUACUCGGCUUCAUCAAGGGAACCAGGUUCAACCCACUCCUCGUCGCUCCCGACUGGAUACCUAGCCUCUCCAGGCUCGGCCAGUACGGUGAUGGGCGCCGGUACCAUGUGCAUGAUAUCCACCACGGUCUCGUUCUCACCAGUAAAAUCUUGCUGGGGGAGGGGGUUUAUUUUGUGUGGGACCCCAUCACCGGCGAGCAGCGCGGCGUGCCUGUUCCGGCGAAGUUAACGAGGGGGAUUUUUCUCCACUGUCCGGUGGUCUGCGCUGCCAGCGACCAAGGCCAUGUGCACGACAGCUGCCACUCGCGCCCCUUGAAGGUGGUUCUGAUGCCCGCUUGCACAACUUGUCCCACCGCAUUUGUUUAUUCCCCAGAGACCGGCAUAUUUAGGAAUAUCAAUAUCACCUCGCUACAGCCUGCACUUCAGAGUUAUCUAGAGCGUACAGUUCGUGCUACUCUUGUUGGUAAUGUGCUCUACUGGGUGUCCAGUUGUAACCAUAUUUUAGAGUUUGCUUUGGACGAGUACAACCUAGUGGCGACCAUGGCGCCUCAGGCUAGAGGAGAAUUGCGAAAUGGCCGACAACAUGUGAUACUCGCUGAUGAUGGUGAUGUUGGCUUUACUAUACCAUUCUUUCCUCGCUUCUAAAUGUGGCGGUUGAAAGUUAAUGGUCAUGGUGUUGCUACAUGUUCGAUGUGGAAGAGCGUUGAAAUUAAUAACAUUCAUCUAUUCUCUCCACACACCAUUGCGCCAGCUAUCAUAAUGGGAUAUUGUGAGGAAUCUGAUACAAUGGUUAUAGAAGUUUUCACUGUUGGUGCUCCCAACAAUAAGUACAUGGUUCAACUCAAGUCCAUGCAGGCCAAGAAUGUUGAUAUGAAAAGUUAUCAUGGUUGGUGUCCUUUCACAAGUUUCUAUACACCAAGUGAUUGCUCAUCUUUAGUACUUGUAUUGCAGGAGUAACCUAAUUCAUUUUUUUGCACACUAAAUGUUUGCUCAGACAUCGUCAUUGUGCCUCUUGAGUAACUACGAACUUACACUUAAUCAACAUUUGCCCAUUUGUUGGAUUGACAAACUUAACUUGUAGCUGUGUUUUUUUUUCAGUAGGUGUCUUCAUUUUUGGGAGAUCCAAAUCAAAUGUCAAAUGAGUAGAAAUGUAAAAUCAAAUGUCACUUGGUAACUUAACUGGGCAUGUUUGUAAUCUUAACGCUAGUUAUAUAUUGUGUACAAUACUUUCUUUAACUAAAAAAUAACAACUUCCACUGAAUCAGUACCUCUUGAAAUGAUAUUUGUUUUCUUUGAACCCAAAUGAUAUUUUUAAUCAAUUGUCGAAAACCCUUCUGUAAGUGACUAUAAAUCUAUAGGAAAAGAAAUUGCAUUUCUUGACUCCAAUUAUGCUCAAGUUAUUCAAAGCUGCAUAUCCGAAGUCACUUUUGUUGCUGAAAUUUUUAGCUUAUGUAUGGUUUUCUAUGCUUGGCAUGACACAGGGAUGAGCUUACAUGUUAUUAUCAACUUAUUUUUCCAUUAAGUGGCCAAGCAUACAACUUUUAGAAAUAUUCCUUGUAUUUACAAUAGAUGUUUUAUUUUGUAUAUUGCUAGUUCAGAAGUGAGCUAUAAAUCAUCUGUAAAAUGUGAAUUAUGGAAGUGAGUUAUUUGUUCAAGGUGGAUUUGUCAGCUCAUUGGUGACUGACACACUGUUGCCUUGCAGUAUUACCCAUUUGACUUUUCUACAAAGCUGUUACUAAUUCCCUAAGUUUUAUGUUUCUAGGCACAACCAUUGCCGCUGGAUCAAAUGGAGCUGAAAUUCUGCACAGUAUAUAGGAUGACUAUGGUUUGAUGUGCUAAUGUGUUGAAAUGGUCCAGCGAGUAAGAAGAGCAUUCUGAAUGUAGCUUGUGAGAUUUGGACCGUUUGAUUUUUUUAUGGAAAAUAUGUCUUCUAGUGCAUGCACGCAGAACUUACUGUUCAAGUGUUCAUUUGCAUAUAGGUAUCUCCGGAUGUGAAUAACACAUACAUCAAUUGAAAUGUGGUUGUGCCAAUAUAAAAAUGACUCCUUUUUAUUUGUAAAUAACAACCUGAUAUUAAAUGUUUGUUGAAAUAACCUGUGCGCACGCCUAUUGGACAUGUCUAGAGUUUUGCCUUGUUUUUUGGCUUCAACUUCGGCAGAAACCAACCUCUGAAAUUAGCUUCACACGGAUGGGGAGAAGCCUAAAACAAUUCCACACCCUAACAAAUAUUUAUUUUGUUGUCUUUAGUUUUUUAUAGCGUCAAAAGGUUUCAAGUAUUUAAUUAAGCAGAGGUCGGUUUCUGCCGAAGUUGAAGCCAAAAAAUAAGGCAUAACUCUAGGCAUGUCCAAUAGGCGCACACACAGAUUAUUUCAACAAACAUUUAAUAUCAGGAUAUUAUUUACAAAUAAAAAUGAGCAAUUUUUAUAUUGGCACAACCACAUUUUAAUUGAUGUCUGUGUUAUUCACAUGUGUAAAUACCUAUAUGCAAACGAACACUUGAACAGUACGUUCUGCGUGCAUGCAUGGUACCCAUGCUGGAAGACAUAUUUUCCAUAAAAAAUCAAACGGUGCAAAUCUCACAAGCUAUAUUCAAAACCCUCUUCUUACCUCCUUGGCCAUUUCAACACAUUAGCACAUCAAACCAUAGUCAUCCUAUAUAUUGUGCAGAAUUCCAGCUUCAUUUGAUCAGCAGCAAUGGUUGUGCCUAGAAGCAUAAGAACUCAGGGAAUUAGUAACAACUCUGUGGAAAAGGCAAAUGGGUAAUACUGCAAGGCAACAGUGUGUCAGUCACCAAUGAGCUGACAAAUCCACCUUGAUCAAAUAACUUACUUUCGUAACUCACAUUUUACAGAUGAUUUAUAGCUCACUUCUGAACUAGAAAUAUACAAAAUAAAACAUCUAUUGUAAAUACAAGGAAUAUUUCUAAAAGCUGUAUACUUAGCCACUUCAUAGAAAAAUAAGCUGAUAAUAACAUGGAAGGUCAUUCCCGUGUCAUGCCAAGGAUAGAAAACCAUACAUAAGCUUAAAAAUUCUAUUAACAAAAGUGACUUCAGAUAUGCAGCUUUGAAUAAAUUGAGCGUGAUUGGAGCCAAGAAAUGCAAUUUCUUUUCCUACAGAUUUAUAGUCACUUACAGGAGUCUUUGACAAUUGAUUAAAAAUAUCAUUUGGGUUCGAGGAAAACAAAUAUCAUUUCAGAAGGUACGGAUUCAGUGGAAGUUGUUAUUGUUUAGUUAAAGAAAGUAUUGUACACAAUAUAUAACCAGCGUUGAGAUUACAAACAUGCCCAGUUAAGUUACCAAGUGACAUUUGAUUUUACAUUUCUACUCAUUUGACAUUUGAUUUGGAUCUCCCAAGAAUGAAGACACCUACUAAAAAAACACAGCUACAAGUUAAGUUUCUCAGUCCAACAAAUGGACAAAUGUUGAUCAAGUGUAAGUUGGUAGUUACUCAAGAGGCACAAUGACGAUGUCUGAGCAAAUAUUUAGUGUGCAAAAGAAAAUGAAUUAGGUUACUCCUGCAAUACAAGUGCUAAAGAUGAGCAAUGACCUAGUGUAUAAAAACUUGUGACAGGAUACCAACCAUGAUUACUUUUCAUAUCAACAUUCUUGGUCUGCAUGGACUUGAGUUGAACCAUGUGCUUAUUACUGGGAGCACCAACACUGAAAACUUCUAUAACCAUUGUAUCAGAAUCCUCACAAUAUCCCAUUAUGAUAGUUGGGGCAAUGUUGUGGGGGAGAGAAUAGAGGAAUGCUAUUAAUUUCAACGCUCUUCCACAUCGAACAUGUGUCAACACCAUGAACAUUAACUUUCCGCCACCACAUUUGUAAGCGAGGAAAGAAUAGUAUAGCAAAGCCAAUAUCACCAUCAUCAGCGAAUAUCACAUGUUGGCGGCCAUUUGACAAUUCUCCUCUAUCCUGAGGCGCCAUGGUCACCACUAGGUUGUACUCGUCCAAAGCAAACUCUAGAAUACAGUUACAAUUGGACACCCAAUAGAGCACAUUACCAACAAGUGUAGCACGAACUGUACGCUCUAGAUAACCCUGAAGUGCAGGCUGUGGCGAGGUGAUAUUGAUAUUCCUAAAUAUGCCAAUCUUUGAGUAAUAAACAAAUGCGGUGGGACCAGUUGUGCAAGCGGGCAUCAGAACCACCUUGAAGGGGCGUGAGUGGUAGCUGUGGUGCACAUGGCCCUGGUCGCUGGCAGUGCAGACCACCGCACAGUGGAGAAAAAUCCCCCUCAUUAACUUCCUUGGAACAUGCACGCCGCACUGCUCGCCGGUGAUGGGGUCCCACACAAAAUAAACCCCCUCCCACGACAAGAUUUUACUGGCGAGAACGAGACCGUGGUGGAUAUCGUGCACAUGGUACCGGUGCCCAUCAUCGUACUAGCCGAGUCUGGAGAGGCUAGGUAUCCGAUCGGGAGCGACGAGUACUGGGUUGAACCUGGUUCCCUCGAUGAAGCCGAGUAGAGGCGGCUUCCAGUGGUGGGCGCAGAAGCUGCAUGCUGAUGAACUUUGGGUCGAUGAUAGGACCCACCAUCUCUUGCAAACGGCGGAGGCGAGGGGAAGCAAGGAUGGCUGCAGCGGAGACGCAUGAGGAUCUCCCGGAGCAAAUCAUCACUCUUCGGAAGGAAGGCAGUCGCCGCCUGCGAAGUGCGGUGACGGCGUCUGAGGGAGUUCUGGACUAGGGGGUAUCCGGAUAGCCGAACUAUCAUCUUCGGCCGGACUCCUGGACUAUGAAGAUACAAGAUUGAUGACUUCGUCCCAUGUCCGGAUGGGACUUUUCUUGGCGUGGAGGCAAGCUUGGCGAUACGGAUAUGUAGAUCUCCUACCAUUGUAACCGACUCUGUGUAACCCUAACCCUCUCCGGUGUCUAUAUAAACCGGAGGGUUUUAGUCCGUAGGACGAACAACAAUCAUACCAUAGGCUAGCUUCUAGGGUUUAGCCUCUUUGAUCUCGUGGUAGAUCUACUCUUGUACUACCCAUAUCAUCAAUAUUAAUCAAGCAGGAGUAGGGUUUUACCUCCACCGAGAGGGCCCGAACCUGGGUAAAAACAUCGUGUCCCUUGUCUCCUGUUACCAUCCGCCUAGACGCACAGUUCGGGACCCCCUACCCGAGAUCCGCCGGUUUUGACACCGACAUUGGUGCUUUCAUUGAGAGUUUCUCUGUGUUGUCACCUUUAGGCCCGAUGGCUCCUUCGAUCAUCAAUAACGAUGGCAAUUUUGCACUGCGGGCCAAUUCACUUGGCCAUCUGGAGCAGAUCGAAAGCUACGCCCCUGGCCAUCAGGUCAGAUUUGGGAGUUUGAACUACACGGCUGACAUCCGCGGAGACUUGAUCUUCGACGGAUUCGAGCCAUAGCCAAGUGCGCCACACUGUCUUGAUGGGCAUGAUCUAGCUCUGCCGCCGAACAGUGCCCUGGAGGCCGCACCCGAGUCCGCUCUGACCCUUAGCUCAAAGCCGACUUCGCCAAUUGAGGACGAGUGGCUGGACACCGCCUCGGGGGCUACAAUCUCUAUAGCGAUUGAGCCGAACACCAUCCCUGUCCUUUGCAAAGCCCAUGACUUCGAGGUGCCGGACUCCUCUCCGGACUUCGAACCUCCCGCACCCCUGCCAAUCAAAUCCGAUUGGGCGCCGGUUAUGGAGUUCACCGCCGCGGACAUCUUUCAGCACUCGCCCCUUGGCGACAUCCUGAAUUCACUAAAGUCUCUCUCUUUAUUAGGAGAGCCCUGGCCGAACUAUGGUCAGGAAGGUUGGGAUGCGGACGAGGAAGAAAUUCAACACCCACCCACCACCCACUUCAUAGCCACUAUCGAAAGUUUAAACGACAUGCUCAAUUUCGACUCCGAAGACAUCGACGGUAUGGACGACGAUGUAGGAGAUAACCACGAACCAGCACCUAUAGUGUACUGGUCAGCCACCCCAUCUCACGAUGUAUACAUGGUGGAUACACCUAAAGGAAGUGACGACAAGGAACAACGGGACGCUACGAAGGAUAAAUCCCUCGAAAAGCAGUCAAGACGGCGACGAAAGCGUCGCACAAAGCCCCGCCUCGACCAAGACGGCGGCCAUAUAGACCCAACCAUAGAGCAGGUCGAACCGGUGGACGACGAACAUGCCAUUGAACAACCGUUCGAACAGGACAACUUGGAUAAACAAUCCGUCCCCGGCGAAGAUAACAGUCCGGACGAUCUCACACCGGACAAGUUGUUGGAGCAGAAGAACCUCCACAAAAGGCUUGUCGCCACUGCACGUAGCGUGAAGAAGGAGAAGCGGAAGCUCAAAACAGCGGAAGAUGCACUCAGAAUCAGAUGGAGCAAAGUACUCAACACCGCAGACAAAUACGGCGACAGUCGCCAAACAAAGAGCUACCCGAAGCACAAACUACUGCCCAAAUUCGAUGAGGAGGCCUUAGAGCCACCGCAAUCAAAGAACAAAGAGGCUGCCCGGUCGAAUGGAUGACCACAUGACAAGCAUAGAGCGGCAAGCGGCGCCGCACACAGGCCGACACGUGAUCCGCAUAAGGAUUCACAUCAAAAGGAUGGCCCGGUUAGGUCCAUCUAUGGGCCAAGAAAGCAAGCUCUUCUAAGCAAUGCAACACGCCAAAUAUCCAGAAAUCACGGCACACCCAAAUAUCGGGGAGCCGCACACCCCCUAUGUUUCAUCGAUGAGGUGCUGGAUCACGAAUUCCCAGCGGGAUUUAAACCCGUAAACAUAGAGGCAUACGACGGAACAACAAACCCGGGAGUCUGGAUUGAGGAUUACAUCCUCCACAUACACAUGGCCAGAGGAGAUGAUCUCCACGCCAUAAAAUACUUACCCCUCAAGCUCAAAGGGCCAACACGGCACUGGCUUAAAAGCCUCCCUGAAAAUACCAUUGGAAGUUGGGAAGAGCUCGAGGAUGCUUUUCGGGCAAAUUUUCAAGGGACUUAUGCCCGCCCUCCGGAUGCAGACGAUUUAAGUCACAUAACUCAACAACCCGGAGAGUCAGCUCGCAGAUUCUGGAAUAGGUUCCUCACCAAAAAGAACCAAAUAGUCGAAUGUCCGGACGCCGAAGCCUUAGCAGCUUUCAAACACAACGUUCGAGACGAAUGGCUCGCCAGGCACCUUGGCCAGGAAAAGCCAAGAACAAUGGCCGCACUAACAAGCCUCAUGACCCGCUUUUGCGCGGGAGAUGAUAGUUGGCUGGCAAGAUGUAGUACCAGCGACCCAAGUACAUCCGAAGUCAGAGAUGGAAACAGGAAACCACGACGCAACAAGGACCAGUGCCGGACAAGGGGAAACAGCCCGAAGAGCAUGGCAGUCAACGUCGGAUUCAAAAGCUCUCGGCAGAAUCAUAAAAAACUGCCCCUCAAGGAUAACAGCCACGAGCUAUCCAACUUAAACAAAAUCUUGGACAAAAUAUGCCAAAUCCACAGUACCCCCGGGAAGCCUGCAAACCAUACCCACAGAGAUUGUUGGGUCUUCAAGCAGUCUGGCAAACUCAAUGCCGAACACAAGGGGCUCGACACACCAAGCGAGGACGAUGACGAACCCCACAAGCAGAGCACCGGAAAACAAAAGAAUUUCCCACAAGAAGUCAAAACAGUAAACUCGCUUCAAGUGAUAAAAGGGAAAAUCAGAACGACGCCCGUAGAAAUACGCGCCGCACGGCCUAUCCCAGCGGAGUCUCGACAUUGGUGGUCAAAACCAAUCACCUUUGAUCAUCAGGAUUAUUCCGGAAGUAUUCGGAAUGCAGGAUGAACUGCCCUGAUAUUAGAUCCUAUAAUCGACGGACUCCAAUUCACAGAAGUCCUAAUGGACAGCGGUAGUGAUCUAAACCUGCUAUAUCAGGACACAAUCCGCAAAAUGGGGAUAGACCCAACCAAAAUUCGCCACCGCGACACCUCCUUCAAGGUGGUAAUGCCAGGCCUAUAUGCCCAUUGUACGGGCUCCCUACUGCUAUAAGUUAUGUUCGACUCAUCUGACAACUUCCGCCGCGAAAAGUUAACCUUCCAUAUCACCCCACUAAAAAGUAGCUAUCAAGCACUAUUGGGAUGUGAAGCUUUCGCCCGCUUUAACGCAAUACCGCAUUAUGCAUCUCUUACACUUAAAAUGCCCGGUCUGCGCGACAUCAUCUCAUUAAAGGGAAGUAUCAAGUGUUACUUGAGCACGGAAGAACGUGAGACUGCCUGGACAGUCACACACUAAUCCGACUCCGCUAAACCAAGCGCCUGAACAGGUCAUUCGGACCCCGGGCACGACUAGACGAGUCCAGCGUAAACAUACAAAGGCCUGAUAGCCGCACACCCCCGUACAAGGGGCUGCAUGCAUAUACAACAAGAGACAAUAAAGCUCAAUUUUAUUCAUUUUUUGAAUCGUACUCUGUUUAUUUAAUAUAAAGUACAUUUUUCGCACGAUCUUUCUUCAACUAAGUUCUUCUCUUUUACAGAUGAACACCGUGCUACACCCGUCUAGGAUACGGCACAACAGAGACACAGGCGCAUACGUGUAGUAGGGACCCGUUGCAAGUUUUCUUUUCAGAUUAAGACCCUGCGUAAACCUUUUUUACUUUCUCU
rnacentral:lncRNA from 1 species